rnacentral:rRNA from 1 species
GGCCAGACUCCUACGGGAGGCAGCAGUGGGGAAUAUUGCACAAUGGGGGAAACCCUGAUGCAGCGACGCCGCGUGAGUGAAGAAGUAUUUCGGUAUGUAAAGCUCUAUCAGCAGGGAAGAAAAUGACGGCACCUGACUAAGAAGCCCCGGCUAACUACGUGCCAGCAGCCGCGGUAAUACGUAGGGGGCGAGCGUUAUCCGGAUUCACUGGGUGUAAAGGGAGCGUAGACGGCCAAGCAAGCCAGGGGUGAAAGCCCGGGGCCCAACCCCGGGACUGCCCUUGGAACUGCAUGGCUGGAGCGCGGGAGGGGCAGGCGGAAUUCCUGGUGUAGCGGUGAAAUGCGUAGAUAUCAGGAGGAACACCGGCGGCGAAGGCGGCUUACUGGACAGUAACUGACGUUGAGGCUCGAAAGCGUGGGGAGCAAACAGGAUUAGAUACCCUCGUA